UACGGAGGGGGCAAGCGUUGUUCGGAAUUACUGGGCGUAAAGGGCGCGCAGGCGGCUGCUCAAGUCAGGCGUGAAAGGCCUGGGCUCAACCCGGGAAUUGCGCUUGAGACUGGGCUGGCUUGAGUGCGGGAGAGGAUGGUGGAAUUCCCAGUGUAGAGGUGAAAUUCGUAGAUAUUGGGAAGAACACCCGUGGCGAAGGCGGCUCUCUGGGACGGUACUGACGCUGAGACGCGAAAGCGUGGGGAGCGAACAGG
rnacentral:rRNA from 1 species